AACCCAAAGCUAGUGUGAUAUUUCAAUUGAUUACUUAUAGUCAGUUACAGAUAAGUCUUUGAUUUACUUUUCCCUCUUCUCACUUCUGCACUUGACUAGUUUAAA
rnacentral:sRNA from 1 species